UAGCGUUAUAGGAUUUUCCGGUUUCUUCCAUUUACGGUUUUGUAAUUGGAACGUUUGUAUCCGACCAGCUAUAGAAUUUUCCGACACGUUCUAUUCAGGCCACUUGGUGCCGAGUUCGAAUAGGCGGUAAGCGCGAGCCCAGUCACUGCCAGGCCCACUCACAUGACUGUCAAAGAGCAAUAGGCCGCGAUUCGAGCUAAGAUGGUCAAACGUACACCAAUAAAACAACAUUAAUAGCGACUCUGACAGCAAAAGCUGGCAUGGCUGACCGCGUCGCCCGAAUUGUAUAACCAAAUAUUCGGGUUUGUACAAGAAAUGGGCAGCGGUGAAGUUUGAGAUUUGGCAGUCCAUCAUGGCGGACAGGAAAUAACAGAACAAGCUUAAGCUACGAGCAGGAACAUUCCACAGGAGCCGGUUCAUGUUGCUGUGGCAGCAAGGGGCAGAGCUAACAGGCUAUUCUGGAUCUCUGACGGCUGCGUUCCUUUUAAAAACGACCCAAACUGAGAGAUGGAACAGAGGCAGCCAGUGCUAUGAGUCAGGGGACGAAGAGAAAGAUCAGCCCAUCCUCCCCUGACAAGACACAACACCCAUCUUUAACAUAACCUCAUCAAACCUCUAACAAGCUAACAAGGGUCAACAGAGCUAUCCGACAUCCAAAGUCUGAUUGAUUUUAUUCCCGUUUGAGUGUAAAGUCCCAAAGGAGCCUGUAAUUAGCAUGCAAAGAACAAGAAAAGGAAGAGGAUGUUGUAAUUCCCACUUAAGCAACUAUAUUUUCCGCUAACAAAAACUGAUUUGCCUUUCACUGGAGAUCUGGAAAACACCCCACGCCCAUGAGGGACAUCAAGUCAACACGUCUAUCGGUCAAAACAUGUUAUGCAGUAGCUAAAUGGCUUGACUAACCAUUCUCAGCUACUAGGAAAGAGGUUGUAAAUAUGUACAUGCUUUUUGUCUUUUUUUCCCCAUCACAAUGUAAAACUUCAGAUGAAGGUGCAAAUAAGUUACAUUUUCUGUUAUAUAUCUCUCACUGUAAAUGUCUUAAUAGACUUGGUCCAGCUGAUUGUGUUAUGUUAAAGACUGGGUUGAAAGAUGGCUUAGUCACUGUAGUUUUGGUCUAACGUGAGCCAGUCUUGCAUUGUGUGCAAAAUACCAGCCGGACCCCUAAACCUACAUGGCUGAAGUCAUGAUUGGGCAGUAAAAGUUGGACAGGAAGGAAGCAAUGUCUGAAAUGGCAUCUCUUUUCUUGUUUAAAGCUUAUUGCACCACCACCCACUGCUGAUAUGAUCUUAGCUGUUAGAAAGCACUCUUGAGCCACUGGUUUGACUGGAGGCUUGACAAUUGUAAAAUAGGUACAGCCCAAGAGAAGAUGGAACACUUUUGCCUGACAUUUUGACCUGACAGCAGGUCUGUCUAUAGUGGCCUCCUCAGUGGAUUAUGACUUUAAUUAAAGGGAUUGUUCACUCAAAAAUAAAAAUU
ensembl:lncRNA